UAAAACAAGCAGUCUCGCUGGAGCAGUUUUGUUCCACAUUCUUCUGGCAGCUUGCUGUGUUAGUUUCAGUGAUUGGGAGGUUCUUCCAUGGCCAGCAUUGCACGAUUCCACGGUAGGAACGUGGGCCACGGGAAGUCUUUCAUUCACCCUUUCCUUGCAUUUAGACAUCACUGCCAGCUCCCAGGAGAUCCCAACCAGGCAGGCUGCCUCUCUCCUUCCUGCAAGCUUUUGGUGUUUCUUGUCACUUCUCUGUUGAAUUCCACCAUCCUUUCUUGGAUAAUACAUUCAAAGAGUGACUGUCUAUACACUAUUUUGGUUCUUCUUAGUGGAGAAGGAUUUCAUUGCUUUGACUAGGAUUUCCAGUACUACGAUGAAUAGAAGUGGCAGGAGAAGAAGAUAUGGUGGUUGAAGUUACAAGGACUCCUUGUUGUAACCAGGAGCCGAUCUUGAUCAAUGGAGCUACAUAAAGCAUGUUGAAAUGCAAAGAAAGAUAGAAGGAGCCUGUGGUACUGAAAACAUUGAGGAUUCUCUGAACCAGCCUUGGCUACCCCACCAUUUAACUUGAGAAAAAAUAUUUCUUUCCUCUUUAAGCUCUUCUUCUACCAAAUGUAUCAGGAA
rnacentral:lncRNA from 10 species